rnacentral:rRNA from 1 species
UAUCUUCAACGAUGAAUCAUCGGUUGAUUCACGUAUCGAUGAAAAACACAGCUAGAUGUGUUAUUUAACACGAAUUGCAGACGCUUAGAGUGAUGAGGCUUUGAACACAUAGCGCCGUAGGGUUUUCACUUCGGCAUAUUCGGUUCAGGGUUG